CAAGAGCGUAUGUAAAAGUUGUUGCAGUUAAAAAGCUCGUAGUUGAACCUUGGGUUUGGUUGGCCGGUCCGCUUUUUUGCGAGUACUGGAUUCAACCGAGCCUUUCCUUCUGGCUAACCAGUCGUUUCGGCGGCUGGCGAACCAGGAUUUUUACUUUGAGAAAAUUAGAGUGUUCAAAGCAGGCAUUAGCUUGAAUAUAUUAGCAUGGAAUAAUAGAAUAGGACGUUAUGGUUCUAUUUUGUUGGUUUCUAGGACCAUCGUAAUGAUUAAUAGGGACGGUCGGGGGCAUCAGUAUUCAGUUGUCAGAGGUGAAAUUCUUGGAUUUACUGAAGACUAACUACUGUGAAAGCAUUUGCCAAGGACGUUUUCAUUAA
rnacentral:rRNA from 1 species